rnacentral:rRNA from 1 species
CCUACGGGAGGCAGCAGUGGGGAAUAUUGCACAAUGGGCGAAAGCCUGAUGCAGCAACGCCGCGUGAGAGAUGAAGGCCUUCGGGUCGUAAAGCUCUGUCCUCAAGGAAGAGAAUGACGGUACUUGAGGAGGAAGCCCCGGCAAACUACGUGCCAGCAGCCGCGGUAAUACGCGGGGGGCCAGCGUUAUCCGGAGUUACUGGGCGUAAGGGGUGCGUAGGUGGUUUCUAAAGUCAGGGGUGAAAGGCUACGGCUCAACCGUAGUAAGCCUUUGAAACUGGGGAACUUGAGUGCAUGAGAGGAGAGUGGAAUUCCUGGUGUAGCGGUGAAAUGCGUAGAUAUUAGGAGGAACACCAGUUGCGAAGGCGACUCUCUGGACUGUAACUGACACUGAGGCACGAAAGCGUGGGGAGCAAACAGGAUUAGAUACCCUAGUAGUC